UAAGGAAUAUUGGGCAAUGGAGGCAACUCUGACCCAGCCAUCCCGCGUGAAGGAUUAAGGCCCUAUGGGUUGUAAACUUCUUUUGUUUGGGAAGAAAUCUAGACAUUUAUGUGUAGUUGACGGUACCUUACGAAUAAGCACCGGCUAACUCCGUGCCAGCAGCCGCGGUAAUACGGAGGGUGCAAGCGUUAUCCGGAAUCACUGGGUUUAAAGGGUGCGUAGGCGGUUUGAUAAGUCAGAGGUGAAAGCUAGCAGCUUAACUGUUAAAUUGCCUUUGAUACUGUCAGACUUGAAUCAAGUUGAGGUAGGCGGAAUGUGACAUGUAGCGGUGAAAUGCGUAGAUAUGUCAUAGAACACCAAUUGCGUAGGCAGCUUGCUGGGCUUGAAUUGACGCUGAGGCACGAAAGCGUGGGGAUCAAACAGGAUUAGAUACCCUGGUAGUCCACGCCCUAAACGAUGUUAACUCGAUAUUUAUUCUACGGAGUGAGUGUCCAAGCGAAAGCGUUAAGUUAACCACCUGGGGAGUACGUUCGCAAGAAUG
rnacentral:rRNA from 1 species